AAGCCUAGGGCCUCAGAUGUUAGGGGCCUCAAAAAAAAAAUUAUGUAGGCCUGCAGAUAUUAAAAAAAAAAAAAAAAAAGAGAAGAAGUUAACGAAACAAUCUAAGAGGAGGAGUUUGAGACGGGACUUUUUAUUAGAUCAUAUCCCUUCUUUUGAUUCCACCUCUUUAGGCGUAACCUUGAAAUUCUCCGGGACGGUGCGAACCUCGCGAUUUCCUUAUGGCUCUCGUCUUCCUCCCUAGCUAAUCUCUAUGUUCUCUCUCCUCUAUGGGCUUUCGUUUUCUGUUUUCAUUAUAGGGUUUUGUCCCAGAUUCACUCCCAAUUCGGUUUUUGUCUAUGAGCUAUCAACUUCUUCAUCGUCUUCACCAAAGAGAACAAUACCCAUCAGGGUUGAAGAAUUUCACGAACACAUUGUUCCUCUGUCUCGGAUUUGAUGGCAAGCAAAUUGGGUUUUGCAAAUUGAAGGAAAAUCUUCCAAUCAAGCAAAAUGGUGUUGCCCACUUCGACUAGCUCUGUGAAGCAGUGGUUGAAGAAAUCUUGUAUUCCUUAUGUCCCAUAGGGCAGGAGGUUAUUAGAGCAAUAUUGGAUAGGAUAGCCUAUUGUGAAUUUGUACUAGUGAUUUUGGGGAGAAUGUGGUCGAUUCAUCAGGACAUGGGUUGAAUUCGAAUUCAGGUUUGGAGGUCCAGAGCAAUGGGAAUCCAGAGAGCUAUAUGGGUUUGCAAAGUGGUGAUUCGAGCUGUUGGGUGGCCUGACCUUGCCAUUUACACCCCACGUUCGGGUUUUCAGUAGAUAAUUAGAUAAUGCUUUUCAUAUAUAUUAGUCUAUGAUAUAAUGUUUCACACUGGAAACUAUGAUUGCGUACGUAGAGAAAUGGAGCAUGAAUGACUCUUUAGGCUUAAUGCUAAGCAGCUUUAAGAUUUUAAUUUUAGAAUUUUCUGAGGUUAUAGAGAGGGUGAGAAACACCAAAGUCCACAGAGCCAUACCAAAGUGUUCUGUAUGUAAUGGCUUGUUUUGUUCUCUUUUGUGUGGUUUUUGGUUGUAUAUGAUGUAACUUAAAUAUGAAUGACCUUUUCUUCUUCUCUUUUA